UACGUAGGGUGCAAGCGUUGUCCGGAAUUAUUGGGCGUAAAGAGCUCGUAGGCGGUCUGUCGCGUCUGCUGUGAAAACCUGGGGCUUAACCCCGGGCCUGCAGUGGGUACGGGCAGACUAGAGUGUGGUAGGGGAGACUGGAAUUCCUAGUGUAGAGGUGAAAUUCGUAGAUAUUAGGAAGAACACCGGUGGCGAAGGCGGCCCACUGGUCCGGUACUGACGCUGAGGUGCGAAAGCGUGGGGAGCAAACAGG
rnacentral:rRNA from 1 species